rnacentral:sRNA from 1 species
UGCAAAAUCAACCAAGUGUGGAUACUUC